rnacentral:rRNA from 1 species
GGAGUUUGGUCCGUGUCUCAGUACCAAUGUGGGGGACCUUCCUCUCAGAACCCCUACUGAUCGUCGGCUAGGUGGGCCGUUACCCCGCCUACUACCUAAUCAGACGCAUCCCCAUCCCUUAGCGGUGAACCUUUGCUUCAUUUCAGAUGUCCUCUACGAAGAACAUAGGGUAUUAAUCCGAUUUUCACCGGGCUAUGCCCUACUAAGGGGAAGGUUGGAUACGCGUUACUCACCCGUGCGCCGGUCGCCAUCACAGAUAGCAAGCUACCUGCAUGCUGCCCCUCGACUUGCAUGUGUUAAGCCUGUAGCUAGCGUUCAUCCUGAGCCAGGAUCAAACACU